UUCUCAUCCAUGUUAUGAGGAGAAAAACAGAAAAUACUACACUUAUUAUCUGCAUCUAAACUCUCUCUCUCUCAAGUUCUUAGAAGCAAAGCUCUCUCCAUUUUCUGAAACACUUUCUAUGUUAGUUUUACAACACGUUAUCAGCACGAAUAGCUCUAGGAUUCGGAUUGCAGAUUGACAAGAGAAGAGGUGAAUAACUCUUGGGUUGCAGAGAAGAGGUAGUUCAUCAUUCAAUCAACAUCAGUCUACAAGCUCUACAACCAAGCAAGAUACAAUGAGGCUGUGUACUUAAGAGAGCCUCGCUCCACCCAAACCUCAUACUCUUACCUGGUCGUAUUUAAUUGGAGUUACCAAAAGGGUUGAGUAAUAACUUUUCAUUCCUUGGCAGACCAGCUUGAGCCCAGCAGGCCCACUCUCCCUCUGCGGGACCUAGCAGCCCAGCAGGCCUCACACACCAUUUAAAUUACGCAUGAAAGGCCGGGUCACAAGCCCGCAGACUAAGCCCGAUAGGCUUCACUAUCAAGCCCAUUCCUUUGGUCCAGCAGAAUCAAAUAAAAGGAAAAAUGAUUUGAUUCUACUGAGAUUUGAACCCAGACAAUGUACAUGUCAUUAUGGCUAUUGCAAAUAAAUUCACCAUAUUUCAUAUGUGUAAUUAAUUGCCAGAAGCAUUUAUUCACAUAAUUGUGUGACAAUUAAUAUGUUAUAUUACUAGCAUGCAAUUAAUAUCUCAAUUGAUUUGUGAUU